UGUGCUGCAGUAAUCAGUAUGAGGUACAAGGAGUAAGAUUUUUGACAGACCCCAUUAAGGAUAGAUGAAGUCCAAGGAAUGUACAGAUUUUCUAUCAUCAGUAUAAAAGUUUUUAAUGACUAUAUUAUUAAAUAAGUGAUCUUUACAGUGGACAAAAGUGGACUUGAGUGUACUCAGGGAGGUUGAAAUGUCCCAGAUCAGCAGGACUGGAUGUCCAUGCAAACAGGAGGCACAAAGAGGCAUGAGUGCUGGUCAGGCGGAAAGUCGAAAGAAGAAGGUACAGGAGCCUCAGGACUCAUACCACCAGGUUGAGAAAGUGUUAUUACUCCUCAACCAUCAUGCUCUUGAAUAAAGAGCCCGUGAGCUUCAUGCACAAGAAAUUUACAGAUUCUGCCACAUCCAUUUCUGUUCAAGUUCUCAGAUUCCAUUCAAUAGUCCUCUUAUCAUCUUUGGCCUUCACUGUCAGUUUGAAAAUCAGGCUGUGUUGUUUAACUGAUGCAAGGCAGGGAGGUCACCUUCUAUGUCCGCCUGUCUCAGUGUUGAAGGUUGAGGUUCGUCGUCUGCUGUGACUGAUGUGGAAGGCUUGAAAAAUGAUAGUGUGCUUGACUGCUUAGCCUCAUGCAUUUUUCUAUCAUACACUUCUUUGUAAGCACUCAAAGCAUCCUGCAAAUAUGCCCUAAACCUAUGUACCCUUUCAAAAUUAAAGUCAUACUUUUCUGCAAUAUUUGCAGCAUUGUCAAUCGCAGUGAAAAUCUCACGCAAUUGCUUCAUGUUCAGUUACUGGACGACUUCACUUUCAGGCCAUUUGCUUCUGUGUUUGGUUUCAAUUGUUAUCCUUUCCUCUUGCAAUUGCAUCAGCUCUUCAUCUGUCAGUUCUUGGUCAUUGGAUGCCAAAACCUCUUCAACAUCAUCUUUGUCAGUUUCCACAAACCCAGCCUCCUUAGCCAAACUCACAAUGUCCUUACUUCAUUCACCAGGAUCGAAAUGCUUAAUUAUGUCUAGUUUUACACUAAGUGUAACACCCUUAUGAGCUCUUUUAGGCUUUUGCAAUAACUUAGAACUCAUCUAGCUAACGGAUGCACAAAAUAAAUCAAGAUAAAGCACAGAUGCUCAUAGGCUGGUGAUUAAGCAAUGGCGGCUAGAAUGCAGUUCCAGGGGAGGAGCUUGGCUGCC